GGAUGUGAGGGCGAUCUGGCUUUGACCAUGCAUCACCAAGGUUGACUUGGCUGAUCUGGCUGACUAAGUGGGUGUUUCCUUCUUCCCUCACCGUUCCAUGUGUGUCUCUUCCAAAGCUGCAUGCUCAGUUGCUGAGUCAAAGAGGAUGACCUUCCCCCAGAUAGAGACAAACCAGUCUUCGGUGGAAGGUAACUGCACUCCACUACUAGAACUCCAAACAAACUCUCAAAGGUCAACUGAAUGCACCAGUAAAUACAUCAUGCUUCUUUACCAUUCUAUCCCAAUA
rnacentral:snRNA from 1 species